AAACGCACAAAACAACCUCAACAGUGAUUAAAGAAGCGAAGCUGAACUGAUAACCCUGCAAAACAAAACUGCAGUUGCAUAAACAUAGACGGAAAACAAAUCCAGCAGAAAACAUUCACAUCGUGCACAACACAGCUGCAGAAAACAACAUGGAAGGCAGCCAACAAUAAAAAAAUAGAAAUAGACUUGCAGCCGAAACAUAAAAGUACAAAAAUGCAUCAGCACUCAAACAAAAAUUAGUUGCUCCAAAACCCUGAACUAAACUCAGCUCCUUCCCGUAUUCUUAUUAUAAUCCUUACUGAUUAACAUUUUCUUUUAUAUUUUGAGUACUAUAUGCUAACUGAACCUUUACUAACUAUAAACUUUAGGGCUCAACUUGAAGGAACCUUAUUAAAUUUAUUUUAGAAACAAAAAGAAUAGACUGCAAAAAUGUAGUGCUCCUUCCUAUGUCAUUGUUGUUCUAAGCUAAAAAUCAAUUUUAAAACAACUGAUAAAACCUAAUUUUAGUAAUUGUUUUCCUCCUUGAUAAACCUCUUAUUCCUCUUUUACCGGUGCAUCCACAUUAUGCUGUAAAAAAAAUUAGCACAAUAUGUAGGUUUUAGAAUUUUUUAGAAUAAAAGAAAGGAACAAUAAACCUUCAAUAGGUGCCGCCGGCGGCCGCUUUGAGCACUUCGAAAGAGAAAAACAGGAAGGAAUAAAAGAAUUACCAUGUUUUUCCAACAAUUUUGACGGAUGAGAUCGGUGCCAAAUUUGAUUAAGAAUUUGGCGACAUCGAUUCAACAGUGGAGAGAAGUAAUAAAGAACAAACAAUAAACAAACUAAGGACAUAUUAGAGGUUGUCUGAGGCAUGAUUCCAAAUCACAAUAUAAGAAUUUGAAGAAUCUCUAGUCACAUCACAUGGAAGAAAGGAAUGUGAUUACCAUCGCCAAGUUGUGUUUCAUCAUCAUCCUCAACAUUUUCAAAUGUAUUAAGUCCCAACGAUUUCGAAAUUUGAGCACUCACUGCAGCCAAAACACACAAAUCACAAUAUAGGUCAAAUUAUAGGUGAAAGUUCAUCAAAACAUUAUAUCAAACAGAUGGGGGAGGCAAAAGUAAGUGGAAAAACUGAUUCACAAAGCCUACCAUAUAAGAAACAGAUGCACAUUCCAGUUUGGUUUUGUUCAACUUCAGAUAAUAACAAUUGAAAGCAUAACAUGUAUUUUUAAGAUGUAAAUAAAUCAUAUUAAUAGGUUCAUACCAUCAAUUUUCUGCAAGAUUUUCUUGACUUUAUGGUUGCAUCCAUUCCAUAUGUUCAUUUUAAGCACAGAUUUCUGCAUACACAGUAAACAUAAGAUGAAGUUUAAUUUCAUUGUUCAAAAAAUGAAAAAUUAACUAAAAUGGGACAAAUGAUACAUAACACAAAAGCAAAAAUAAAAGAACCAUGGAGAAUGUGAUGGGAUUAC
rnacentral:lncRNA from 1 species